UACGAAGGGGGCUAGCGUUGUUCGGAAUUACUGGGCGUAAAGCGCGCGCAGGCGGUCCUUCAAGUCAGGGGUGAAAGCCCAGGGCUCAACCCCUGGAAUGGCCUUUGAGACUAGAGGACUUGGGUGCGGGAGAGGUGAGUGGAAUUCCGAGUGUAGAGGUGAAAUUCGUAGAUAUUCGGAAGAACACCAGUGGCGAAGGCGGCUCACUGGCCCGUUACCGACGCUCAGGCGCGACAGCGUGGGGAGCAAACAGG
rnacentral:rRNA from 1 species